rnacentral:rRNA from 2 species
GUCUGAUGGAGCACGCCGCGUGAGUGAUGAAGGGUUUCGGCUCGUAAAACUCUGUUGUUAAAGAAGAACAAGUGUUAGAGUAACUGUUAACACUUUGACGGUAUUUAACCAGAAAGCCACGGCUAACUACGUGCCAGCAGCCGCGGUAAUACGUAGGUGGCAAGCGUUGUCCGGAUUUAUUGGGCGUAAAGCGAGCGCAGGCGGUUUUGUAAGUCUGCUGUGAAAGCCCUCAGCUCAACUGAGGAAGUGCAGUGGAAACUACAAAACUUGAGUACAGAAGAGGAAAGUGGAACUCCAUGUGUAGCGGUGAAAUGCGUAGAUAUAUGGAAGAACACCAGUGGCGAAGGCGGCUUUCUGGUCUGUUACUGACGCUGAGGCUCGAAAGCAUGGGUAGCGAACAGGAUUAGAUACCCUGGUAGUCCAUGCCGUAAACGAUGAAUACUAGGUGUUGGAGGGUUUCCGCCCUUCAGUGCCGCAGCUAACGCAUUAAGUAUUCCGCCUGGGGAGUACGACCGCAAGGUUGAAACUCAAAGGAAUUGACGGGGGCCCGCACAAGUGGUGGAGCAUGUGGUUUAAUUCGAUGCUACGCGAAGAACCUUACCAGCUCUUGACAUCUUCUGCCAACCCAAGAGAUUGGGCGUUCCCUUCGGGGACAGAAUGACAGGUGGUGCAUGGUUGUCGUCAGCUCGUGUCGUGAGAUGUUGGGUUAAGUCCCGCAACGAGCGCAACCCUUAUUAUUAGUUGCCAGCAUUUAGUUGGGCACUCUAGUGAGACUGCCGGUGAUAAACCGGAGGAAGGUGGGGACGACGUCAAAUCAUCAUGCCCCUUAUGAGCUGGGCUACACACGUGCUACAAUGGAUGGUACAACGAGUCGCGAAACCGCGAGGUCAAGCUAAUCUCUUAAAGCCAUUCUCCAGUUCGGAUUGCAGGCUGCAACUCGCCUGCAUG